rnacentral:rRNA from 1 species
GACGAACGCUGGCGGCGCGCUUAACACAUGCAAGUCGAGCGAAUCGGCGGACGGGUGAGUAACCCGUGAUUAACCUGCCUUAGACCUUGGGAUAGCCUCGGGAAACCGGGAUUAAUACCAAAUGGUCUAAGAUUGACUCGGGUCACAUUAGCUAGUUGGUGGGUAACGGCCCACCAAGGCGACGAAGGGGAGACGGCCGGAGAGGGUGAACGGACACAUUGGAACUGAGAAACGGUCCAAACUCUACGGGAGGCAGCAGUGGGGAAUAUUGCACAAUGGAGGGAACUCUGAUGCAGCGAGGCCGCGAGAACGAAGAAGGCUUUCGAGAAGUAAAGUUCUUUGAUAUGGGAAGCGGUACCAUAAGAAAAAGCCCCGGCUAACUACGUGCCAGCAGCCGCGGUAAUAC